GCCUAGAUAGCUCAGUCGGCAGAGCGCAUUCUUGGUAAGAAUGAGGUCUCGGGUUCGAUUCCCGAUCUAGGCUCCA
rnacentral:tRNA from 1 species